UUCAAUAGCCGCGCUACUUCUGCAUUUAAGCACAUCAUCUCUGCCACUUUCUGGACUCCCUUUUACAGCACUGGUUUUUUGUUCACCAUUCAGUGACAAGCAUCCCGAGACAAACGCAGCACUUCGGUGAGGAAUUUUAACUCUGUAACUCAGAGGAUGCCACAAUCACAGCUAAAUGAAAGAAGCAAAAAUCAAAUCAAAUCAAACAAAGAGAUCCCAUCAUCCCCUGCCGCAUCCUCCCUCCUCCCCUUCCCACCCAACAGGCAGCUCUGGAUUCCAUAAAAGAGAUCAGAGCGGAGCAGCUCUGGCAUACACUGCUAAGCACGGAGUAAAACAUACGAGAUAUGCUGCACAGUUUGGGUUUGUUUUGUUGUUUUCACUCGCCUGCUGCAAAGUGCACCGGCACGUUCAAAAACAAACGUCGAAAAUGAUCCUGCAGCCACCUUUCUGAAAUGCGCUCUGACACGCUUUACCCAGCAAGUUCACUUACACACGUUGACUGAGUUCAGCACCAAAAUGCUGCAGUGUUUGCCUGGUGGGUUUGUUGACACGUUAGUCAGAAAGCUUCUGUACUUCCUCUGCCCCUAUACGAGUGUGGGCAUCAUCAAAAGCAAACAAACUUUACACAGCAAUAAUUUUUUUAUUCAAAUAAGCUUGUCAGCACCAAUUAUCUGAACCACAGCUGCCAAAUACCAAGAAGCAAUUUCAAGAACUCAGGGAAGACACAAAAGCCCUUGUUCUGCUCUAGGAAAUACUCAGACUGGGAUGAGAUUCUGAAACCCUGUGGAAAGACGGAGCAGGACCGGCCGCAUUCAGCCCUCUAUCAGCACAAUACAACAAAGGACACACCCCUGCUCUGUGCUUUCAGAUCACAAACCCAAGAAGCUGCAAGCUUUUCCUUCUUACAUAGACUCUAUGUGCUAAAUGUAGCAACACACAUGAAACCAAGUAUUUUUCACGACCAGGAUUCUUAAGAAACAGUAUUUUAACACGUGGAAUAACCUCAGGGAUAUGCCGUAUGUAUAUAUGGCAUAUAUAUAUAUAUAUAUAUUCAUAUAUAUAUGUGAAAUGAAAUCUUUUCUUAAAAACAUGCAUUACAACAUUGUCACAGAAGGACCAACCACCCUGGAAGCCUUCACAGGCUGAAGAGUUCCAGCAGCACGAACACAACACAGUUCACACUCAGAGCACAUCUCAGUGAUACAAGUGGGGAACAAGAAGAAACCCCCAGCGCGUCAAAUCAAAUCACCACACAGCGUACUUCUUUUUUUUUUUUUUUUUUGGAGUGAGCAAUAGGUUAAAAGUUGCCAAUAUUUCAGAAGAAUGCCAAGUUAUGGUAACGUUUC
rnacentral:lncRNA from 1 species